CGACGAGACGCCAUUUUGAAAAACACGCAUGAAAAUGGCUGCCGACUGUUUGUGCUUGAAGACAUUUGCAAGACUCUUUCAGCUUCUUCGAGUUUUCAAGAAGAGCAGUAACUUGAACCAUGGAGGAAUAAGAACACAUGCUUGAACAUGGCGGGAGUCCGAGAAAUGACAGUUUUCACCAUCAUUUUCCUGACUUUGUACACAACUGCUGAAGUAGCGUCAGGUGGCAGCUUGGGAUGUCUGUGAGGGCCAGGGAUGCGGCACCAUCCUGAGGUCAUGAACACAUCUUUUCUGGCUUUCAGGAUGACUGAGAGCUCCAAAUUGCUGUCUGCAUUUUGCCUAUACUGAUAGCUCACCCAACAUUCCAUGGUUUUGGACCUCCAACUACAGAAAGCACCACAGUAGCAGGUGAGUUUGUAAUGCUUUGGUCAGUGUUAUACCUAUCCACAUUCCAUCAAUGCUAGACUUGGUCCCACAAAUUGGCGAUUGUGUAGUGUAGGGCCCUGUUCCUUAUAAGGAACAAAAAUCCGCUUUUAGGUUAUUAUACUUACCAAACUAGUAAGUGAUAUUACAAACCAACAGGUAUGCCCUAGAUAGAGGCCAAGGUUUUUAAUUUAUUGACCCUGGAAAUUUGGGGUUAAAGCGAUGAUGAAGAUGACAAAACGCAACACGAAAAUAAAGAUGGCGAUCACUGCGAUGCAGUGAACAUGCUAAACUGUGUUGAUUCCCAUGGCACUUAGCAAACUGUUCAAUAUUACAAAAAAAUGAUGUCAUGAGAAAGAAGAGAAGUCUGCUUUAGUCAGACAAAAAAAAAAUUUUGGAAUAAUCAAAACACCUUUGACUUUACUUUUAAUCGAAACUAAAGAGGGGCCUACUACACAAUUGCCAUGAAAUUGGGAAACUCUUGAAGGUAAAAGUAAACCAAAAAAAUGUUGAGCUGAUUCAAUUGCAUUUUGACCGAGAGUAAGGUCUCAAUGUUUCAAUGUCUCAAUGGUUUUCAAUGUGUACACCACUGAAAUUUCUCAGUUAUUCCAACAACGAUGAGCAGUGUAUCCUUGACUUGAAGGCAUAUACAUGUACAUGUAAGAUCACUUGCUCUUUAUUCCUUUCGUUCGUUUCCAAUGUUAACACGACUCAAAAUCAAAUGAAGCAUGUGUUCAAAAGCUAGCCUGUUGAGGUUUCAGCUCAGUGGAAAAUUAUGAGAAACCGAUAUUUUGGAAAAUUCUGAAUGGGACUUUACAUAUUUUCUGGAGAGCUCCCAUUCGUCGUUUACAGCAACUGCUUACAUUUCUAGAUAGCUAAAGUUCUUGGUAAUCUUUCAUGCAUGGUCUAGUGGUUUGAUGGAGUGUGGAUUACAUAAUUCUAUCCUUAACAGUUCUGAAACUGUCAUUUGUAAUAUUUGUCAUAUCCUAGGGUUAGGGUUACAGGGACAUUUACGGCCUGAAAUCCCCAAACAUGUCAUGUUGUUAUUGUUUAUUCAUCCUAUUUCAAAGGUCUUGUUGAAAGGAAAACAACCUAUUAUCUUAUCGUUCCUGAGAAAAGAGAAAAAAAACUUGUUUACAUCAAAUGUGGGGAACAGUUUGUGGCAUACACAUAUGUAUUUCAAGCCAUGUCUGUUCAGUGUGGGCAUAUUGUACACGUUAUGCGUGUGUGUCACAUAAUACACACAGAACCAAUAUAUACACAAAUGUUGUUUCUUACACGUCCGCAGAAUGCAAACCACUGUGUUCGGCAGGAUUUACAACUAGCACUCAACAGCUCGAUUUUUGAGAUUUUUGCAAAAAUAACCCCAAAAAUUCCUAGUUUUAAGUGGACGUAUAUAUAUAUCCUACUUUGAAAUGCUAUUUCCAAUGGAUAUUAAGUCGUUUAAAAUGCGUUUCUGUAUCCCAAUUGGGCGUAUUCCAGGCCGUAAUGUCCAUGUAACCCAAACAAAAUCAAUUGAUGUAAAUAAGAAAGCAGCUAUGAAACCAAAAGUGAUGAAUUGAACUCUGUCUUUGCCUUGUCCACUCACUUUGUCAGUCCUUCAUUUUAAAGGAGCACGAUCGCGCAGGCGCUCCUACUGCGCUCCUCGACUGUCUCGAAGGAGCGCCAAAAAUAGCGCUCCUCAAAAAUCCAAAAGAGGGCUCGUCAAACACGGGAAGUUUAAAAAUAAGAAGUGAUAAAAACACAAAGGAUUUUAAGUCUUAAGCUACACGUAUUUUUCGUUGGUAUAAAUGCCCAAACUCACGUUAAUAUGCCGCUGGACAUCGCUAAAAAUGAACGAACACCGAGCUCGUACGUACUGUAAAAGAUCGUGUGUGUACGUGUACAGCGGUUGUAUACUGUGCGUGCACAAUCUGCAUAUCGCAUAGAGCUGCAUGAAAACACGUGGGCCCGUACGUGCGAGUGCAGCAAUGACUGGUUCCCGCUGCGCCACGCACUAAGUCCCAAUGAAGGCAUGAUGAAAAUGCCGUAACCAGUCAAUGUAAUAGUCGCGCGCGGUGCAAUGCACUGACGUACAGUGUUUUGCGU